rnacentral:rRNA from 1 species
AAAGAACCCCGGCGAGGGGAGUGAAAAAGAACCUGAAACCGUGUACGUACAAGCAGUGGGAGCACAGGUUUACCUGUGUGACUGCGUACCUUUUGUAUAAUGGGUCAGCGACUUAUAUUCUGUAGCAAGGUUAACCGAAUAGGGGAGCCGUAGGGAAACCGAGUCUUAACCGGGCGUUAAGUUGCAGGGUAUAGACCCGAAACCCGGUGAUCUAGCCAUGGGCAGGUUGAAGGUUGGGUAACACUAACUGGAGGACCGAACCGACUAAUGUUGAAAAAUUAGCGGAUGACCUGUGGCUGGGGGUGAAAGGCCAAUCAAACCGGGAGAUAGCUGGUUCUCCCCGAAAGCUAUUUAGGUAGCGCCUCGUGAAUUCAUCUCCGGGGGUAGAGCACUGUUUCGGCUAGGGGGCCAUCCCGGCUUACCAACCCGAUGCAAACUGCGAAUACCGGAGAAUGUUAUCACGGGAGACACACGGCGGGUGCUAACGUCCGUCGUGAAGAGGGAAACAACCCAGACCGCCAGCUAAGGUCCCAAAGUCAUGGUUAAGUGGGAAACGAUGUGGGAAGGCCCAGACAGCCAGGAUGUUGGCUUAGAAGCAGCCAUCAUUUAAAGAAAGCGUAAUAGCUCACUGGUCGAGUCGGCCUGCGCGGAAGAUGUAACGGGGCUAAACCAU